AACGAACGCUGGCGGCAGGCCUAACACAUGCAAGUCGAACGCCCUGGCAACAGGGAGUGGCAGACGGGUGAGUAACGCGUGGGAACGUGCCCUUCGGUUCGGAAUAACUCAGGGAAACUUGAGCUAAUACCGGAUACGUGCGAGAGCAGAAAGAUUUAUCGCCGAAGGAUCGGCCCGCGUCCGAUUAGCUAGUUGGUGAGGUAACGGCUCACCAAGGCGACGAUCGGUAGCUGGUCUGAGAGGAUGAUCAGCCACACUGGGACUGAGACACGGCCCAGACUCCUACGGGAGGCAGCAGUGGGGAAUAUUGCACAAUGGGCGCAAGCCUGAUGCAGCGACGCCGCGUGAGGGAUGACGGCCUUCGGGUUGUAAACCUCUUUCAGUAGGGACGAUAAUGACGGUACCUGGAGAAUAAGCCCCGGCAAACUUCGUGCCAGCAGCCGCCGUAA
rnacentral:rRNA from 1 species